rnacentral:rRNA from 1 species
UAGCGAAAUUCCUUGUCGGGUAAGUUCCGACCUGCACGAAUGGCAUAAUGAUGGCCAGGCUGUCUCCACCCGAGACUCAGUGAAAUUGAAAUCGCCGUGAAGAUGCGGUGUACCCGCGGCUAGACGGAAAGACCCCGUGAACCUUUACUAUAGCUUGACACUGAACAUUGAAUUUUGAUGUGUAGGAUAGGUGGGAGCCUUAGAAGCAGUCACGCCAGUGAUUGUGGAGGCGUCCUUGAAAUACCACCCUUUAACGUUUGAUGUUCUAACGAAGAUUACGAAACGUGGUCUCGGACAGUGUCUGGUGGGUAGUUUGACUGGGGCGGUCUCCUCCCAAAGAGUAACGGAGGAGCACGAAGGUUUGCUAAUGACGGUCGGACAUCGUCAGGUUAGUGCAAUGGUAUAAGCAAGCUUAACUGCGAGACAGACAAGUCGAGCAGGUACGAAAGUAGGUCAUAGUGAUCCGGUGGUUCUGAAUGGAAGGGCCAUCGCUCAACGGAUAAAAGGUACUCCGGGGAUAACAGGCUGAUACCGCCCAAGAGUUCAUAUCGACGGCGGUGUUUGGCACCUCGAUGUCGGCUCAUCACAUCCUGGGGCUGAAGUAGGUCCCAAGGGUAUGGCUGUUCGCCAUUUAAAGUGGUACGCGAGCUGGGUUUAGAACGUCGUGAGACAGUUCGGUCCCUAUCUGCCGUGGGCGUUGGAGAAUUGAUUGGGGCUGCUCCUAGUACGAGAGGACCGGAGUGGACGCACCACUGGUGUUCCGGUUGUGUCGCCAGACGCAUUGCCGGGUAGCUAAGUGCGGAAGAGAUAAGUGCUGAAAGCAUCUAAGCACGAAACUUGCCAAGAGAUGAGUUCUCCCUGUCUUUAAGACAGUAAGGGUUGUUUAAGACUAAGACGUAGAUAGGUGCGGUGUGUAAGUGUAGUGAUACAUUGAGCUAACGCAUACUAAUUGCCCGAGAGGCUUAGCCAU